GGAGUCCCUCCCUCUAAAAGCACUCUGUGUGGGGAACAUGAGAGCCAGACCAAAGCUCAGAGGAACCCACCUGGACCUCCACCCAGCUCUGUGUCCUUACAGAGUGACCGGUCUAAAGGUGCUGGUAUUGACUUUAAAUCAGACGUGUGUCGUCCUGCAGAGAGAGUGGACCAGCAGAGCUCAGAGGUUCCCAGUGGUCAGUCUGUCCAGCAGCAUCAAACACAGCUGGACUCCAUAUUUAUGGUCUGUACAUGUACAACAACUACUUUAUUAUUAAUAUUAAUAAUAAUACAUUUAUUUAAAGGUCCCUUUCAGAAC